GACGAACGCUGGCGGCCUGCUUAACACAUGCAAGUCGAGCGGUAAGGCCUUCCGGGGUACACGAGCGGCGAACGGGUGAGUAACACGUGGGUGAUCUGCCCUGCACUCUGGGAUAAGCCUGGGAAAAUGGGUCUAAUACUGGAUAUGACUCCAGCAUGCAUGUGCUGGGGUGGAAAGCUCUUGUGGUGCAGGAUGGGCCCGCGGCCUAUCAGCUUGUUGGUGGGGUAAUGGCCUACCAAGGCGACGACGGGUAGCCGAGCUGAGAGGGUGACCGGCCACACUGGGACUGAGACACGGCCCAGACUCCUACGGGAGGCAGCAGUGGGGAAUAUUGCACAAUGGGCGGAAGCCUGAUGCAGCGACGCCGCGUGAGGGAUGAAGGCCUUCGGGUUGUAAACCUCUUUCAGCAGGGACGAAGCGUGAGUGACGGUACCUGCAGAAGAAGCACCGGCUAACUACGUGCCAGCCGCCGCAGUAA
rnacentral:rRNA from 1 species